UUAUCUGCCUUGGGUCUGGCAUAACGUCGGGAAACCGGCGCUAAUUCCAGAUGAUAUCGCAAGAUCAAAGCCUUCGGGCGCCCAAGGAUGAGCUUGCGUCUGAUUAGCUUGUUGGCGGGGUAAUGGCCCACCAAGGCGACGAUCAGUAGCCGGUCUGAGAGGAUGAUCGGCCACAUUGGGACUGAGACACGGCCCAGACUCCUACGGGAGGCAGCAGUAAGGAAUAUUGCGCAAUGGACGAAAGUCUGACGCAGCAACGCCGCGUGCAGGAUGAAGGCCCUUUGGGUUGUAAACUGCUGUAGAAAGGGAAUAAUAGUUUGCCACGGGUGAACUUGAAGGUACCUUUAAAGUAAGCGCCCGGCUAACUACGUGCCAGCAGCCGCGGUAAUACGUAGGGCGCAAGCGUUGUCCGGAUUCACUGGGUGUAAAGGGUGCGCAGGCGGAUUGGCAAAGUCAAGAAGUGAAAUCUUACGGCUCAACCGUGAAACUGCUUUUGAUACUGCUUAUCUUGAGUUCGGGAGAGGUUGAUGGAAUUCCAGGUGUAGCGGUGAAAUGCGUAGAUAUCUGGAAGAACACCAGUGGCGAAGGCGGUCAACUGGCCCGCAACUGACGCUCAUGCACGAAAGCGUGGGGAUCAAACAGGAUUAGAUACCCUGGUAGUCCACGCCCUAAACGAUGCAUGCUUGGUGUUGGCUCUUUAGAGUCAGUGCCGUAGGUAACCUGUUAAGCAUA
rnacentral:rRNA from 1 species